UUAUAGGGAACCGAUUAAGUUAUUUCCAUAGUUUCUUAGAUAAAGGAAUCGUGUUUAAAUGAUAUCUGGUUUCUUAUGUAAAUAAAUAAGAAACCAAACAUGAUUUUUGUCAAGUUUCCUAGCUUUAAGAUACUAGGUGUGUCUAAAACCGAUUUCCUAUUUUUGAUUAACAAAUAAAAAAGUAAAAAUUUAAUUUAUUGUUAAAAUCUAAAAUCGAUUUUGCAGUUACGGGUAAGAUCUGAAACAAAAAUUAGAUUUUCCCCCUGAUCUUAUGUAGUAUGAAAAGAGAUUUUGGAUUUUUUUUUCCAGUUUUAUAUACGUAAAUAACUUCAAAACUGAUUAAUGAUCUUCCUCUACCAUGUUAUUUAAUCUCUAUCCUUCGAAUCGGUUGGCAGUUUUAUAAUCAGCAAGUUCUAGAGCCACCGGCAAAAGUGCGAGUAUCGGUGCCUCAAACACCAAGCGAAACACCAGCGUCGCUGCUCCUGGGGAGACAAGGUUACACGUUGUCGAACAAGCGGUCGUCGACACCAAAGUGCAACUGUUUUCCUGAUGGCCCGUUAGGAUUAAGAUCUGCAAUUUGAACUCGCGAUCUUUGCUCAUUAAGAUCUGCAAUUUAAACUCGUCUAGUCAUCAAUACCAAAGUUCUUCCGCCUGGUUCACUGACUCCACAACUCGUGACGUCACCCUCACCUGUAAGGUCACAGCUCAAAGUAAAGAAUCAUGUUUUGUUCGUGAUUAUGUUAAAAAAUGCAUCUUAUUGUUGCUUCUUUGUUUUUCUAUCAUUCAAAUUAAUUUCAUUUUAGACUACUCUAAUACUUGUAUCAUUGUCAAUUAAAUGAAUUAUACUUUUCCAUUUUA